GAUGAACGCUGGCGGCGUGCCUAAUACAUGCAAGUCGAGCGAACGGACGAGAAGCUUGCUUCUCUGAUGUUAGCGGCGGACGUGUGAGUAACACGUGGAUCACCCACCUUUAAGAUAAGGCUAACUUCGGGAAACCGAAGCUAAUACUGGACAACUUUUUGAUCGGCAGGGUUCAAAAGCUAAAGCGGGUCUGGAUGUACUCGAGACCUGUCACCGUGCUGCUUUGGUUGUUUGGUAGGGUAACGGCUUACGGAGGCGAGGAUGGCAAGCCGACCUGGGAGGGUGAACGGCGACACAGGAGCUGAGACACGGUACUGACUCCUACGGGAGGCAGCAGCAGGGACUGUUCGGCGAUGGGCGAAAGCCUGACGGAGCAGCGCCGCGUGGGUGAUGAAGGGCUUCGGGUCGUAAGACUCUGUUAUUGGGGAAGAACAUAUGUGUAAGUAACUGUGCACAUCUUGACGGUACCUAAAGAAGAAGCAACGGCUAACUACGUG
rnacentral:rRNA from 1 species